rnacentral:tRNA from 1 species
ACCUGGGUGGCUGAGUCAGUUAAGCGUCUGACUUAGGCUCAGGUCAUGAUCUCGUGGUUUGUGGGUUUGAGCCCUGCCUUGGGCU